rnacentral:rRNA from 1 species
UACAGAGGGGGCAAGCGUUGUUCGGAAUUACUGGGCGUAAAGGGCGCGUAGGCGGCCCGCUAAGUCGAACGUGAAAUCCCCGGGCUCAACCCGGGAACUGCGUCCGAUACUGGUGGGCUCGAAUCCGGGAGAGGGAUGCGGAAUUCCCGGUGUAGGGGUGAAAUCCGUAGAUAUCGGGAGGAACACCAGUGGCGAAGGCGGCCACCUGGACGGUGACUGACGCUGAGACUCGAAAGCGUGGGUAGCAAACAGG